GGUUAAGCGACUAAGCGUACACGGUGGAUGCCCUGGCAGUCAGAGGCGAUGAAGGACGUGCUAAUCUGCGAAAAGCGCCGGCGAGGUGAUAUGAACCUUUGACCCGGCGAUGUCCGAAUGGGGAAACCCAGUGUGAUUCGUCACACUAUCGUUAACUGAAUACAUAGGUUAACGAGGCGAACCGGGGGAACUGAAACAUCUAAGUACCCCGAGGAAAAGAAAUCAACCGAGAUUCCCCCAGUAGCGGCGAGCGAACGGGGAGCAGCCCAGAGUCUGAAUCAGCUUGUGUGUUAGUGGAAGCGUCUGGAAAGUCGCACGGUACAGGGUGACAGUCCCGUACACGAAAAUGCACAGGUUGUGAACUCGAAGAGUAGGGCGGGACACGUGGUAUCCUGUCUGAAUAUGGGGGGACCAUCCUCCAAGGCUAAAUACUCCUGACUGACCGAUAGUGAACCAGUACCGUGAGGGAAAGGCGAAAAGAACCCCGGCGAGGGGAGUGAAAAAGAACCUGAAACCGUGUACGUACAAGCAGUGGGAGCACCUUCGGGUGUGACUGCGUACCUUUUGUAUAAUGGGUCAGCGACUUAUAUUCUGUAGCAAGGUUAACCGUAUAGGGGAGCCGAAGGGAAACCGAGUCUUAACUGGGCGUUAAGUUGCAGGGUAUAGACCCGAAACCCGGUGAUCUAGCCAUGGGCAGGUUGAAGGUUGGGUAACACUAACUGGAGGACCGAACCGACUAAUGUUGAAAAAUUAGCGGAUGACUUGUGGCUGGGGGUGAAAGGCCAAUCAAACCGGGAGAUAGCUGGUUCUCCCCGAAAGCUAUUUAGGUAGCGCCUCGUGAACUCAUCUUCGGGGGUAGAGCACUGUUUCGGCUAGGGGGCCAUCCCGGCUUACCAACCCGAUGCAAACUACGAAUACCGAAGAAUGUUAUCACGGGAGACACACGGCGGGUGCUAACGUCCGUCGUGAAGAGGGAAACAACCCAGACCGCCAGCUAAGGUCCCAAAGUCAUGGUUAAGUGGGAAACGAUGUGGGAAGGCACAGACAGCCAGGAUGUUGGCUUAGAAGCAGCCAUCAUUUAAAGAAAGCGUAAUAGCUCACUGGUCGAGUCGGCCUGCGCGGAAGAUGUAACGGGGCUAAACCAUGCACCGAAGCUGCGGCAGCGACGCUUAUGCGUUGUUGGGUAGGGGAGCGUUCUGUAAGCCGUUGAAGGUGUGCUGUGAGGCAUGCUGGAGGUAUCAGAAGUGCGAAUGCUGACAUAAGUAACGAUAAAGCGGGUGAAAAGCCCGCUCGCCGGAAGACCAAGGGUUCCUGUCCAACGUUAAUCGGGGCAGGGUGAGUCGACCCCUAAGGCGAGGCCGAAAGGCGUAGUCGAUGGGAAACAGGUUAAUAUUCCUGUACUUGGUGUUACUGCGAAGGGGGGACGGAGAAGGCUAUGUUAGCCGGGCGACGGUUGUCCCGGUUUAAGCAUGUAGGCGGAGGUUCCAGGUAAAUCCGGUACCUUAUUAACGCUGAGGUGUGAUGACGAGGCACUACGGUGCUGAAGUAACAAAUGCCCUGCUUCCAGGAAAAGCCUCUAAGCAUCAGGUAACAUCAAAUCGUACCCCAAACCGACACAGGUGGUCAGGUAGAGAAUACCAAGGCGCUUGAGAGAACUCGGGUGAAGGAACUAGGCAAAAUGGUGCCGUAACUUCGGGAGAAGGCACGCUGAUAUGUAGGUGAAGCCCCUGCGGGUGGAGCUGAAAUCAGUCGAAGAUACCAGCUGGCUGCAACUGUUUAUUAAAAACACAGCACUGUGCAAACACGAAAGUGGACGUAUACGGUGUGACGCCUGCCCGGUGCCGGAAGGUUAAUUGAUGGGGUUAGCGGCAACGCGAAGCUCUUGAUCGAAGCCCCGGUAAACGGCGGCCGUAACUAUAACGGUCCUAAGGUAGCGAAAUUCCUUGUCGGGUAAGUUCCGACCUGCACGAAUGGCGUAAUGAUGGCCAGGCUGUCUCCACCCGAGACUCAGUGAAAUUGAACUCGCUGUGAAGAUGCAGUGUACCCGCGGCAAGACGGAAAGACCCCGUGAACCUUUACUAUAGCUUGACACUGAACACUGGUCCUUGAUGUGUAGGAUAGGUGGGAGGCUUUGAAGUGUGGACGCCAGUCUGCAUGGAGCCGUCCUUGAAAUACCACCCUUUAAUGGCUGGUGUUCUAACGUAGACCCGUGAUCCGGGUUGCGGACAGUGUCUGGUGGGUAGUUUGACUGGGGCGGUCUCCUCCCAAAGAGUAACGGAGGAGCACGAAGGUUAGCUAAUCCUGGUCGGACAUCAGGAGGUUAGUGCAAUGGCAUAAGCUAGCUUGACUGCGAGAGUGACGGCUCGAGCAGGUGCGAAAGCAGGUCAUAGUGAUCCGGUGGUUCUGAAUGGAAGGGCCAUCGCUCAACGGAUAAAAGGUACUCCGGGGAUAACAGGCUGAUACCGCCCAAGAGUUCAUAUCGACGGCGGUGUUUGGCACCUCGAUGUCGGCUCAUCACAUCCUGGGGCUGAAGUAGGUCCCAAGGGUAUGGCUGUUCGCCAUUUAAAGUGGUACGCGAGCUGGGUUUAGAACGUCGUGAGACAGUUCGGUCCCUAUCUGCCGUGGGCGCUGGAGAAUUGAGGGGGGCUGCUCCUAGUACGAGAGGACCGGAGUGGACGCAUCACUGGUGUUCGGGUUGUCAUGCCAAUGGCACUGCCCGGUAGCUAAAUGCGGAAAAGAUAAGUGCUGAAAGCAUCUAAGCACGAAACUUGCCCCGAGAUGAGUUCUCCCUGAGACUUUAAGUCUCCUGAAGGAACGUUGAAGACGACGACGUUGAUAGGUCGGGUGUGUAAGCGCAGCGAUGCGUUGAGCUAACCGAUACUAAUGAACCGUGAGGCUUAACCUU
rnacentral:rRNA from 1 species